GAUUGAACGCUGGCGGCAUGCCUUACACAUGCAAGUCGAACGGCAGCACGGGUGCUUGCACCUGGUGGCGAGUGGCGAACGGGUGAGUAAUACAUCGGAACAUGUCCUGUAGUGGGGGAUAGCCCGGCGAAAGCCGGAUUAAUACCGCAUACGAUCUACGGAUGAAAGCGGGGGACCUUCGGGCCUCGCGCUAUAGGGUUGGCCGAUGGCUGAUUAGCUAGUUGGUGGGGUAAAGGCCUACCAAGGCGACGAUCAGUAGCUGGUCUGAGAGGACGACCAGCCACACUGGGACUGAGACACGGCCCAGACUCCUACGGGAGGCAGCAGUGGGGAAUUUUGGACAAUGGGCGAAAGCCUGAUCCAGCAAUGCCGCGUGUGUGAAGAAGGCCUUCGGGUUGUAAAGCACUUUUGUCCGGAAAGAAAUCCUUGGCUCUAAUACAGUCGGGGGAUGACGGUACCGGAAGAAUAAGCACCGGCUAACUACGUGCCAGCAGCCGCGGUAAUACGUAGGGUGCGAGCGUUAAUCGGAAUUACUGGGCGUAAAGCGUGCGCAGGCGGUUUGCUAAGACCGAUGUGAAAUCCCCGGGCUCAACCUGGGAACUGCAUUGGUGACUGGCAGGCUAGAGUAUGGCAGAGGGGGGUAGAAUCCCACGUGUAGCAGUGAAAUGCGUAGAGAUGUGGAGGAAUACCGAUGGCGAAGGCAGCCCCCUGGGCCAAUACUGACGCUCAUGCACGAAAGCGUGGGGGAGCAAACAGGAUUAGAUACCCUGGUAGUCCACGCCCUAAACGAUGUCAACUAGUUGUUGGGGAUUCAUUUCCUUAGUAACGUAGCUAACGCGUGAAGUUGACCGCCUGGGGAGUACGGUCGCAAGAUUAAAACUCAAAGGAAUUGACGGGGACCCGCACAAGCGGUGGAUGAUGUGGAUUAAUUCGAUGCAACGCGAAAAACCUUACCUACCCUUGACAUGGUCGGAAUCCCGCUGAGAGGUGGGAGUGCUCGAAAGAGAACCGGCGCACAGGUGCUGCAUGGCUGUCGUCAGCUCGUGUCGUGAGAUGUUGGGUUAAGUCCCGCAACGAGCGCAACCCUUGUCCUUAGUUGCUACGCAAGAGCACUCUAAGGAGACUGCCGGUGACAAACCGGAGGAAGGUGGGGAUGACGUCAAGUCCUCAUGGCCCUUAUGGGUAGGGCUUCACACGUCAUACAAUGGUCGGAACAGAGGGUUGCCAACCCGCGAGGGGGAGCUAAUCCCAGAAAACCGAUCGUAGUCCGGAUUGCACUCUGCAACUCGAGUGCAUGAAGCUGGAAUCGCUAGUAAUCGCGGAUCAGCAUGCCGCGGUGAAUACGUUCCCGGGUCUUGUACUCACC
rnacentral:rRNA from 1 species